AUCUAGACAUCCUUAGUAUAACCCUGUAGGGGGCAGUGUUUCCCCAAGAGUGUUUGUUUCCCGUGAUCCUAAGUGAGGUAUCGCAUGAAGUCUGGACUUGUAUGCGACGUCACUUUCAUUCAGAUAGGAGGAGAUAAUUGAAGACACGAGGGAAGCGAUAGCAAACAAAAAGCAUACAGCUGCAGAUGAAGAAACUGUGAGCUGAGGAUAACUUCCAUUUAUGGGAAUUUAUGCUGAUGGAAUCUCCGGUUGUUUUUUUUUGCCAAAGCAAUAGAGAGAGAAGACUUCGAUGGCGAGCCAGCCCAGUGAUUCUGAGAAAGAGAGAGAGUUCGAGAUACGGUGUGGCCAGCCGUAGAACCCAUCUUGACGAAUCCAGAUCAUCUGAACUACAAUCCUUGAAGACUUCAGAUCAUCUUACAUAUUCUUCAUACAGAUAAGACACACUUACUCCUCACCUGCCCGGGUAGUAGUAGCAGCAUUUGACAUAAACACAAAACACUUACACACACAUUUGGGAUCCCUCUUUUCUUUUAUCUAUUUGUUUUCCUCUUUUAUUUGGAAAUGGGACUUCGAGUUGAAAGCUCGAACUAAAUGGACCCUUGGUUUUCUUUAUUUGGUGGCGCCUUAUUUUCUUUUGUGUAAAUGCACAGCCAAGCUGUCAAUGUUAAUUGAUUGUUGUGCACUGACAUUAAAGUGUCGUCUGUUCAAUUCA